rnacentral:rRNA from 1 species
AGAGUUUGAUCCUGGCUCAGGACGAACGCUGACGGUGUGCUUUAGACAUGCAAGUCGAACGAGAAAACCCUUCGGGGUGAGUACAGUGGCGAACGGGUGAGUAACACGUGGGUAACCCGCCCCUCGCAGAGGGACAACCGGGGGAAACCCCGGCUAAUACCCCGUACGCUUGCUGGGUCGCAUGGCCCGGCAAGGAAAGGUAGCUUCGGCCAUCCGGCGAGGGAUGGGCCCGCGGUCCAUUAGCUAGUUGGUGGGGUAACGGCUCACCAAGGCGACGAUGGAUAGCUGGUCUGAGAGGAUGAUCAGCCACACUGGGACUGAGACACGGCCCAGACUCCUACGGGAGGCAGCAGUCGGGAAUCUUGCGCAAUGGGCGAAAGCCUGACGCAGCAACACCGUGUGGGCGACGAAGGCCUUCGGGUCGUAAAGCCCUGUUGUUGGGGACGAAGGGCGAAGGGUUAAUAGCCCCUAGCUUGACGGUACCCUUCGAGGAAGCCCCGGCUAACUACGUGCCAGCAGCCGCGGUAAUACGUGGGGGGCGAGCGUUGUCCGGAAUUAUUGGGCGUAAAGAGCGUGUAGGCGGCUUGGUAAGUCUGCCGUGAAACCCCGGGGCUCAACCCCGGGCGUGCGGUGGAAACUGCCGGGCUAGAGGAUGGUAGAGGCGAGUGGAAUUCCCGGUGUAGCGGUGAAAUGCGCAGAUAUCGGGAGGAACACCAGUAGCGAAGGCGGCUCGCUGGGCCAUUCCUGACGCUGAGACGCGAAAGCUAGGGGAGCAAACAGGAUUAGAUACCCCGGUAGUCC